CAUCUUCUAAAUUGAGCCUCCGGUCAUACUAGUUUUGUGCUUGGAACCUUGCUUCAAGAAGAUCCCUAAGCUGUAGAACAUUUUAACGUUGAUGCCACAACGCAGAUUGAUGCCUUGUAGAUGGAGCUUGCAGAUGGAGCCCCGUGACCUCUCACCUACCCACCUGUUUGCCUGCCUUCUUGUGCGUUUCUCGGAGAAGUUCUUAGCCUGAUGAAAUAACUUGGGGCGUUGAAGAGCUGUUUAAUUUUAAAUGCCUUAGACUGGGGAUAUAUUAGAGGAAGCAGAUUGUCAAAUUAAGGGUGUCAUUGUGUUGUGCUAAACGCUGGGAGGGUACAAGUUGGUCAUUCCUAAAUCUGUGUGUGAGAAAUGGCAGGUCUAGUUUGGGCAUUGUGAUUGCAUUGCAGAUUACUAGGAGAAGGGAAUGGUGGGUACACCGGUAGUGCUCUUUUGUUCUUGCUUCGUUUUUUUAAACUUGAACUUUACUUCGUUAGAUUUCAUAAUACUUUCUUGGAAUUCUCUGGGGCUUUGGGGAAUUUAGUGCGUGGGUGAGCCAAGAAAAUACUAAUUAAUAAUAGUAAGUUGUUAGUGUUGGUUAAGUUGUUGCUUGGAAGUGAGAAGUUGCUUAGAAACUUUCCAAAGUGCUUAGAACUUUAAGUGCAAACAGACAAACUAACAAACAAAAAUUGUUUUGCUUUGCUACAAGGUGGGGAAGACUGAAGAAGUGUUAACUGAAAACAGGUGACACAGAGUCACCAGUUUUCCGAGAACCAAAGGGAGGGGUGUGUGAUGCCAUCUCACAGGCAGGGGAAAUGUCUUUACCAGCUUCCUCCUGGUGGCCAAGACAGCCUGUUUCAGAGGGUUGUUUUGUUUGGGGUGUGGGUGUUAUCAAGUGAAUUAGUCACUUGAAAGAUGGGCGUCAGACUUGCAUACGCAGCAGAUCAGCAUCCUUCGCUGCCCCUUAGCAACUUAGGUGGUUGAUUUGAAACUGUGAAGGUGUGAUUUUUUCAGGAGCUGGAAGUCUUAGAAAAGCCUUGUAAAUGCCUAUAUUGUGGGCUUUUAACGUAUUUAAGGGACCACUUAAGACGAGAUUAGAUGGGCUCUUCUGGAUUUGUUCCUCAUUUGUCACAGGUGUCUUGUGAUUGAAAAUCAUGAGCGAAGUGAAAUUGCAUUGAAUUUCAAGGGAAUUUAGUAUGUAAAUCGUGCCUUAGAAACACAUCUGUUGUCUUUUCUGUGUUUGGUCGAUAUUAAUAAUGGCAAAAUUUUUGCCUAUCUAGUAUCUUCAAAUUGUAGUCUUUGUAACAACCAAAUAACCUUUUGUGGUCACUGUAAAAUUAAUAUUUGGUAGACAGAAUCCAUGUACCUUUGCUAAGGUUAGAAUGAAUAAUUUAUUGUAUUUUUAAUUUGAAUGUUUGUGCUUUUUAAAUGAGCCAAGACUAGAGGGGAAACUAUCACCUAAAAUCAGUUUGGAAAACAAGACCUAAAAAGGGAAGGGGAUGGGGAUUGUGGGGAGAGAGUGGGCGAGGUGCCUUUACUACAUGUGUGAUCUGAAAACCCUGCUUGGUUCUGAGCUGCGUCUAUUGAAUUGGUAAAGUAAUACCAAUGGCUUUUUAUCAUUUCCUUCUUCCCUUUAAGUUUCACUUGAAAUUUUAAAAAUCAUGGUUAUUUUUAUCGUUGGGAUCUUUCUGUCUUCUGGGUUCCAUUUUUUAAAUGUUUAAAAAUAUGUUGACAUGGUAGUUCAGUUCUUAACCAAUGACUUGGGGAUGAUGCAAACAAUUACUGUCGUUGGGAUUUAGAGUGUAUUAGUCACGCAUGUAUGGGGAAGUAGUCUCGGGUAUGCUGUUGUGAAAUUGAAACUGUAAAAGUAGAUGGUUGAAAGUACUGGUAUGUUGCUCUGUAUGGUAAGAACUAAUUCUGUUACGUCAUGUACAUAAUUACUAAUCACUUUUCUUCCCCUUUACAGCACAAAUAAAGUUUGAGUUCUAAACUCA
rnacentral:lncRNA from 1 species